rnacentral:sRNA from 1 species
AAACGAAAUUGUAGGAUCAGAUUUGUUGACAUCUGAUAAUAUGUUUUUUUAUCAAUUAUCCUAAAACACCAAUCAUAUCGUUGUAGUAUUUUAGGUUGUCAAUCCAAAUGGGUGUGAUGCUAACAAUCAAGAUGUGAUCAGAAGUCACUAAGUCAAGCCAAGCAUAACAGGUUUUGGUGUGUUCUAGCUGUCGUAAGUGAACAUGCAGAAAACAGAAAAUCAAACAGAAACAGUAAAACAUUCGACCAACACAGCUCUUUGCAGAGCACUGGGUGAGGUCGAGUGACAGACAGAAAAUGAAACAGGGAUACUCGACUGCACAGUCUGUUGCCAGACAACUGGGUGGUCGAGUAUCAGGUCGAGUAACAGUAAAGAAUUGCAGAAACUAAGCAACAGAUGAAGGAUGCAGUACACAGCAGUAGAGUAAACAAUAAAAUCAAUCGGACAAAGAAUUUCUAAGAAUGGGGUAAUUGAGUAGUUUCGUUUCCUCAGUUUACAGGUGAUUGACAUGCUCAAUAAAUUAACCCUAGACAACAAGUUCAUUAACCAAAUCUAAGUGCCACCGCAACAGAGACUCUCAAGCUAACCUAGUCCCAGACUCAAUCACCAUUGACGAGAGCUAACCUAACAGGCAUUACGAAUCAACAAGUUAAAGCCAAAACGCUCCCUGCAACCAAUACCUUGGUACAGGGUCACUAAUCUCUGGAAUUAGUGGUUCAGACAUUUCAUCGUACACCUUUUGGGCGCGGAAAUGUCUGGGCUCAAAUUCCAGUUGAUCAGAAAGCAAUAGGCAUUAAGAACAACUAAUCCAGAAGGGAUCUAUCAACCAAUACUCAAUCACCUAGUAUACUGAGAAUUCUACACUACUCUAACCCAUCCUCAGAAACCUAUUCACUACUCAGACAUCAUAACAGAAAGCAUAAACGUUGAACAAAUUGAAAACAUGAUAACAACACUCUAACAGCAGGAUGAUAACAGAAUGAACAACAGUAAACGAAAUCAAGAACAGAAACUGAAUACUGAAUAGAUAAAGAGAAAUCCGGAUUACAAAAAGUCUAGAACACAAGGUCUUCGGAAAUAAAACUAGAUAAAAAACUUCUUUGCUGCGAAAAUGAGAAGUACAUGCUACUUAUAGCCAAAUAUCCCGAAACUCUAAUACUCAAAACGACGAAGUAUUGGGACGGGUUAAGAACUGUACUCGACCCCUGUGGUCGAGUGAAUAGCUGGAGUCUUCUUUUCUUCCUUGUGUUCGAGUGUUUGGUUGAGUGCGGAAUAAAGAAGGCUCUGAAGCUUGUCAUCGAGUAUGCAGUCGAGUGGUGGUGAUGGUGAUACUCGACAUCCAGGUGGAGUGAUGAGGUCGAGUAGAUGUCUGGCAGUGGGAUGAAGUCACUCGGUCUGGGGGUAGAGAGACGUCAUCGAGUGGUGUCAGAAGACACUCGACCUCAUGGUCGAGUGAAGUGAUCGAGUGAUGGUCUGGUGAUGGAGAUGAGGGCGAAGUGAAGUGGUAAUGUCCU